CGAAACUGUACGUCAUGUUUGACGUCACCAGCUGUAACAGAAAUUGAAAACGCAGAGGAAAAAGGAUUUAUCAACUUCAAGUCUGUUAAAACUGAAACUCGGUAUCACAUCUGUCUCGCACUUCUGAAACACUGUGAAAUGGAUCAAAUCGGACUUUGUCGUGGAGACUCGGAAGAACCCAGCUGCCUAAAUUAUUAUGCCAGUGGAACACAAAACAGGUAUUGAAAGUGGAACAAAAUAUUGGAAAAAGAAAGAAGAUUUGUAGCAUUGUAUUGAAUAUGCCUGAUUAAAAGUAUUAAUGGAUGAAUUGGUGUUUUUCUCUUUUCUUCAGAAAAUUUGAAAUCGGAGGCAAUGCUCAGAAU